rnacentral:snRNA from 1 species
UUGAGCCGUCACACGGAAUCGAGAGCUC